GACGAACGCUGGCGGCGUGCUUAACACAUGCAAGUCGAACGGAAAGGCCCCUUUGGGGGUACUCGAGUGGCGAACGGGUGAGUAACACGUGAGUAACCUGCCCUUGACUUCGGGAUAACUUCAGGAAACUGGGGCUAAUACCGGAUAGGAAUCCUUGCUGCAUGGUGGGGGUUGGAAAGCUUCGGCGGUUUUGGAUGGACUCGCGGCUUAUCAGCUUGUUGGUGGGGUAGUGGCUUACCAAGGCUUUGACGGGUAGCCGGCCUGAGAGGGCGACCGGCCACAUUGAGACUGAGAUACGGCCCAGACUCCUACGGGAGGCAGCAGUGGGGAAUAUUGCACAAUGGGCGGAAGCCUGAUGCAGCAACGCCGCGUGCGGGAGGACGGCCUUCGGGUUGUAAACCGCUUUCAGCAGGGGCGAAGCUUGUGGUGACGGUACCUGCAGAAGAAGCACCGGCUAACUACGUG
rnacentral:rRNA from 1 species